rnacentral:rRNA from 1 species
CUGAGAGGAUGACCAGCCACACUGGAACUGAGACACGGUCCAGACUCCUACGGGAGGCAGCAGUGGGGAAUAUUGCACAAUGGGCGCAAGCCUGAUGCAGCCAUGCCGCGUGUAUGAAGAAGGCCUUCGGGUUGUAAAGUACUUUCAGCGGGGAGGAAGGGAGUAAAGUUAAUACCUUUGCUCAUUGACGUUACCCGCAGAAGAAGCACCGGCUAACUCCGUGCCAGCAGCCGCGGUAAUACGGAGGGUGCAAGCGUUAAUCGGAAUUACUGGGCGUAAAGCGCACGCAGGCGGUUUGUUAAGUCAGAUGUGAAAUCCCCGGGCUCAACCUGGGAACUGCAU